CCCCACUACAGGGCAAUCUACCUCUCUCAUGGACUGAUGCAAAGUUAAGGCCAGCGAGUUCAUCCUUUGUAGUUGGACCAGGGACUGUCAGGAUAAAGGUUUUACACAAUUCCCCUGCCCUCAUACCUUCCCAGUGUUUAUUCAUGCUGUACAUUUGCCCAUCAGAUAUUCUGAGGAUCUGCUACAAGCAGGAGUGACUGCAGAUACCAAAGAGAAAACAAUGAGUGGAAUUUCAGAGUGAGAGCAGUCAUAAGGUUUUCUGCUCAUGAGGGGAGAGAAACAAAAUGCACAAAACCAAGGAAAUUGCAGAAUGACAAAUUGUGUUAAGUGCCCUGAUCAGGGUACUUUGUUCUUGUAUUGAGAUGGAGACCAGGAGAUUCAUCAUGGAGCCAGUGGAUACUGAUAGGAGAAAGGGGAGGGAAUCUUCAGGAGGAAGUAAGGGAAAAGCAUACAACCAUUGGAAAACUCAUUUCUUGUACUCCCUAACUACCGUGCCCAUACAAUUUCUAGGGAUCUUUGUAAAUAUAUCUACUCUAAUCUCUCCACAAUACCAAUGUAAGUCUCUCCAACUGAAAUCAUUCAUGGUCUAUGUUUCUAGUGAAAAAAAAAAUCAUUGGGACAGUGCUGUGCACAGCAGGUUAAAGCCCUGGUCUGAAGCACCAGUUUUCCAUAGGGGUGCCAGUUCUAGUCUCGGCUGCUCCUUUUCUGAUCCAGGUCACUGCUGUGGCCUGGGAAAUCAGUAGAAGAUGGCCCAAGUCCUUGGGCACCUGCACCCAUGUGGGAGACCUGGAAGAAGCUCCUGGCUCCUGGCUUCAGAUUGGCACAGCUCCAGCCAUUGUGGCCAUCUGGGGAGUUAACCAGCGGAUGGAAGACCUCUCUGUCUCUACAUCUAUCUGUAACUCCAUAUUUCAGAUAAAUAAAAUAAAUCGUUAAAAAAAAGAAAAGAAAACAUCAUUAAUGUGGGCCAGCAUACUUGUGCACUGAAUUAUGCAGCUGCUUGCAAUACCAGGCAUCCCAUGUUGGAAAGCUGCAUAGAGUCCCAGCCCCUCUGCUUCUGUUCCAGCUAUCUGCUAAUGUGCAUGGGAAGACAGAAAAGAUAUUCCCAAUACUUGGGCCCUUUCCACACACAUGGAGAUCCAGGUGGAAUUCCAGGAUCCUAGCUGCUUGCAUGACAUUUUGAGUGAACCAGCAGAUGGAAAAUCUCUGUCUCCCUCUUUCUAUCACUCUGCCUUUCAAAUAAAUAAGUACAUCUUUUCCAAAAAAUCAAUGAGUAAAGCACAGGAGAAACCAAGGUGAUGUCCACCCUCCUCUCUUCUCCCUCUGCUGCCCUAACCGCCCCUCAGAGAGGGACUGAGCAGUCAGACGUAGCUGGACUGCUGUGCUUUGGCCCGAGGCCACACGCAGUGUGAGGCAUGUUGUCCUGAUGGAGGGCACACCAAGCUGAGCAUCCAGGGUGCUGUUGUGUGCUGAAUGGGACUAAGUCGCUCACUUGCAGGUGCUCGGUGACUCUGGAUCUGUUAUACUUGAAAGGAUGUCAUGUGCAUGUAGAAUUAGACCCAUUUGUGAAGACUAUCAAAUGGAGAAAUGACCCCUAAAGCAGAACAGAAAGACUGUAGAAAGGAAAAAGAUUAUAGAAAAGAAAGUUAAUCUCUUGGGAUAGAUUAAUAAAUUGACAUGUGGUGUCUCAGUGGGCUGAGUGCCAAAUAGCUGGAGGAAUUCAGCUAUUCAGACAGGAGGAAUUCAGACAGGAUGUACCCUCUUCUGAGAACGUCGUAGAGAGGAUUAGGUGGUUUGAUCUGAAAUUUAUGACUGUCUGACUCUAUGGGGAUGCCUCAGGGCAGGUGAUGGGAAUAAAUACAGCUGGAAUCUACCGCUAGGACCUUCUCAAAAAUGGGCUCCAACAUGUUCCGGUUGUUUCUUCUGGGCAUAUUCAUAGUUCUCUUCAUUGGUGAGAAAAAGGGAUGCAGGGAUGGGUGACAAGAGAAUGUAUGGGGAGGAAGAAAGUGGAUUCUACAUAAGGCUUUUAUGUUUGUGUAAAAUUAUUGAUGGAGAACUUUUCUUCUUCUCUUCACAGGAGACAGAGUCCUGACAAGCAAAUGGAUUCGGUUUUGCAAUGAAUGUGAUCACUUUGAUGGAGUCAAAUGCCAUGGUGGCAUGAAAAGUUGCUGGAAAUUUAAUUUUUCCUCGAAUAACAGGAGUUGUGCCACAAGUCACUAUUACUAUUCUCAUCGCCUUUCAGAACUUCUGACAUACCAUGUAUGAUAGCUGGAGAACACCAUCUGUAAUAAGAAAGAAUCAUAGAGGAAAAGCUGAUGAUCCAGAUCUUCCAAGGCAAGUCAAACUUGAACAUUUAAUCAGGCAUCAGGGUAGGUAGAUGAAUGGUUUCUCAGUUGACACUUGUCAAGAGCAUGCAGUCAGAGAGUUGCAGAAAUCACUGGCUAGCUAUAGCAGGUUUGGGUUCGCCAAGAACCCUCACCACCUUGUGUAGCUGAUUUAUUUAUUUAUUUAUUUUCUUGCUAGAAGAUUAGCAAUUAGUGCUUUAGUGUCUUCAAAUUCAAAUGCUAUUUGGUCAGUUUUUUUUUUUUUUUGACAGGCAGAGUGGACAGUGAGAGAGAGAGACAGAGAGAAAGGUCUUCCUUUGCCGUUGGUUCACCCUCCAAUGGCCGCCGCGGCUGGCGUGCUGCGGCCGGCGCACCGCGCUGAUCCAAUGGCAGGAGCCAGGUGCUUCUCCUGGUCUCCCAUGGGGUGCAGGGCCCAAGCACUUGGGCCAUCCUCCACUGCACUCCCUGGCCACAGCAGAGAGCUGGUCUGGAAAAGGGGCAACCGGGACAGAAUCCAGCACCCCGACCGGGACUAGAACCUGGUGUGCCGGCGCCGCAAGGCGGAGGAUUAGCCUAGUGAGCCGCGGCGCCGGCCAGCUAUUUGGUCAGUUUUAUUGGGAAUAUAGAAUUCCCAGCUUUGUGCUCCUGCCUGGUAGUCCCAGUACUGGUCUAUCUGCAUUUAACAGGAACUUGAAUUACCUGCACUCAGUUGCAUUCCACACUUGAUUUCUUCCUCUGCUUUGGCCUCAGUCUGAGCUAUAACAUUGCUGAAGUCCUUUUGAAAGAAUUCUAAGAAUCUCAUAGCACCUCUAGCCCUCUCACUUACCCUGUAAGAUCUUUAAGAUCAUGCAUGUCUCGUGUUUCUGAGCAGUACAGACACCAAAGCCUCUUCUACAGCGGUCUGUCUGUGUGCGAAGGUGGCAUGUUACACAAAUCAGUGACGUCACUGCUGGAGAAAGCACAGAUCUGAUGUGAGACCAAGCAGAGGCAGGGACUUGGGAUGUAGUUGAAAAUAUUCAGGCUUGGGGUGGAGGGAUGUGGGGUGGGUGGAUGACAAGCUGGUGUGGAGUAAAUAGGUGGUAAACAGUUGAAGCUGUGACCUACUCUUCAUCCCACAGUGAUGGACAGAAAGUGUCUUUGUGCAAAUGAAAGUAGCCUGGUCCUAACGUCAGCCUUUUAUUAUUAUUUUUAAAAUAUACUUUUAUUUUUAAUUGAUACAUAGAGAGUACAUAUGUGGUAUAUACUGUGAAAUUUCAAUACCUGCAUAGAACAUGUAAUGAACAGAUCAGAGUAAUUGACAUACCUGUUAUCACCUAACACAUUUACCAUUACUUUGUGUUGGGAACAUUCAAAAUCCUUUCUACUAGCUAUUUUGAAAUAUUCAAUCAAUUGUUGCCAACCACAGUUGUUCUUUUUUGCUAAAGAAUAGUAACUGUUGGUCCUCGUCUCCAUGAGCAUCGUGUACCCUCUAACCACUCCUCUCUCCCUGACACCUUUCCCAGGCCCUGGUAACCACUAUUGUGCUCUACUCUUUUGAGAUCAGCUUUUUUUUCUAGUUUACAUAUAUUGAAUAGCAUAAAAAAAUAUUUGCACCUUCCACAUGAAGGUGGGAACAUGUGGUGUUUGUCUUUCUGUGCCUCACUUGUUUCUCUCAACAUGAUGUCCUCCAGUUCUAUCCAGUUGCUGCAAAUGAGACUUCUCUUCUUUUUAUUUCUGAGUACUAUUCCAUUGUGUAUGAAUACCACAUUUUCUUGAUCAGUUAUUGCACUAUUGGACACUAGGUUGAUUUCAUACCUUGAACUUCAGCUCUCUUAAUGCAGAUAAUUCCAAGCAAAAAUGUAGCCUCCCUGUGGUUGAUUUCUCUAGCUUAAAAGCAGUACUAUUAAUGCUGGCCCAGACUACUUGGCAGGGCUGUGGAGACACAUGAAUGUGAUAAUGAUGGUGAGUGACUUAUUUUUAUCCUAGCCAGUGUUAUUAUUAUAGAGUUUUCUACACUUUAGGGUUUUUUUUUAUGUAUAUUGCUUCUGUUUAGGUAUUGUUAGGUGACAUAUUGUGCUAUUUUGAACUUCAAACUGGAUCUAAGUAAAGAAUUUGGAUUAUGGCACAAUUAGUGACACCUUCUCAAAUGAGCAACCAAAGUGUGAUUUCACAGAGGAAGAAUCUGAGACUUGAUGACGUCCAGAAUCUGCCCCAUGGCUACACAUCUAGUGACGACUAGUGCUGGUAUUCAAAGCAAGACUUUCUCAUUUUAGAGUCCAUCCUUUUCACAACCAUGACUCAAGAUCUCUUUGAAAUUCAUGUGUACAUUCAGCAUAUAUUUACUGAGGUAUUCAAUAUGAUGCACAGUUCCUAGUAGAGCAGUGAACGAGAUAUACAAGCUCAUGUAGCCCCUUACUUACCUUAUUUAUGUAUGAAAAGCAGGAGAAGGAAAGAUGAAGAGACACGGUCAGCCUUCAACUUAGAACUUCCGAUUCUCAGCUCAGAACUCUUUCUCCUACCAGAAAUCCGUGCUACAAGACCAGAGAUUAUUUGACUUCGUGGAGUUGUGAAAUCACUCCUACAAUUAUUUCACAACUUGAUCUGAAACAACUACACAUUUUGUAUCUGCUCAAUUUUUUUCAUGGGUUAGAUGUUGAUUUCUGUAGGAAAGCCAUUCUAACUGGGGUGAAGUAAAACCUCAUUGAACCACAUGUCCUUUAAUUAUAGGAGCAAUAUGUUCAUUAAAAUAUCGGACCUGAGAUUUUUAGACAUCAGAUGAACUUUGGAUGAAAUAACAUCUUGGGUCAGAUGCCGUAAAAUAGGCAAUUUUUUUGUGUGUGAUCAGUCAGAAUUUGGAGCCCAUUUUUGUCUGAGGGCCAAAAGUCUUAGACUUAAACAUGAGACAGUUUGUUCCUUUGAAAAGAAUUGAUUUUUUGGUGGGUAUUUAAUGCAGUAUUUCAGUUGCCACUUGGGUUUAAGUUCCAGUGCCUGGUUUAAGUUCCAGUCCUCUGCUUCAGUCCAGCUUCCUGUUAAAACACACACUAGGAGACAGCAGGUUGAUAGCUCAAGUACUUGGUCCCUCCCACCCAAAGAGGAGACUUGGAUGGAGUUCUAGGCUCCUGGCUUCAACCUGGCCCAUCCCUGGUUUUUAUGGGCAUUUAGGGAGACAGAAGACCUCUAGCUGUCUCUCUGCAUUUCAAAAAAGAAAAAUAAGUAAGUAAAAGUUGUAAAAGGAAAAUAAUUAUAUUCUACAUAGAAAGUCAAAUUGUGGUCUUUGAAUUUAUUCUAUUUAUAUUCUGCCAUAUUUCCAGAUAGGCUUUUUGAAUCCAGAUAGAAUUUUUCAGGACAGCCUCAGGCUUACCAAGAAGGCAAAGCCCUGAGACUGGAGCUGUGGUUUGGCAGUAUCCCUGGGCAUUUCAUUUGUCACUUGUUUUAUCUGCUUUAGGCUCUGUUUAUUGAUAAAGAGUGACACUAGAAUCAAAGAAGCAGACAGUCUAGUGAAACAUCAAUGGGUUUUCAGUUUCUAUUCUUCCUUCAGGGUUCUCCUUGGCAGGUGUUGUCUGAAAGGAUAGCUGAGUUUUGAAUCUCCAGUCUAUUAUUUCCAGUUAGGAUUCCAGAAUUUUCUAGCUCCAAAUAAAUGUUGACCUACUCAUAAUUUCAACAUCUCACUUACCAAUUUAAUUUUGAAAAUGAUUUCUUUCUUCAUUCACCAUGAGAUAGGAGAGGAUGCGUGCUAGAACUUACUAACGAAAGUUGUGUGGUUGUAAUGCAAAGAGCCUGUUCCUGGGAGUCUGGAGACCUGUGGGUGAUCACUGUGUAACUCUUUGUAUCUUCAGCCAGUCACAUAUCUGUGAUGUUACAUCUUAACCAUUCGUUUAGUCCUUUACAACUCCAGCAUUCUAUGGUUCCAUCACAUAAGUCAUGAGGAUGAGUGCCAGGUUCUGUUUUCCUGAAGCACCUGAUGGUCUGUCUGGCAUCUGAUGCCACUAUACAUGAUGCCUGUGACUCACUAGGCAUGGUAAUCCAUGAAUGUAUUCUCUGCCAAGAAGGCCCGCCACUCAGCACAGUUACUGUGUACCCUGCUCUGAGGAGAAGGCAGAACAUUGUGUCCUCAUGUUCUUGGUCUCUCUUGGCUCGAGGGUGAGUAGCUGAGGUCUUGGUGAUAUCAUAGGUGAACAGUCCUUUUAGUUUGUGUUUUCACACGUCCUUGCUUUGAGGGAAUGGAUUCUGGCUUUGGAAUGGAUCAGUGGCCUUGUUCUUGGGCUUCUAGGGAUAGCAUUGAUUUUCUAGAAUAUACACACAUGCGCACACACACACACACUCAAGCUAGAGCCAGAUAAUGAUCCUUUAACAAAAUCUGGUGGAGGAGUGCCUGCUUACAAGGACAAGGACAAAAACCUGGAGUACACAUCUAGCUCUUCUCACUUAUAAUUGAUGGUGGGGAAAAGGUGAAGCAAAAAAGAACAAAACUACUAUUAUUAGAGGCUUACUAUAGGCAAUGCAUGAGGCUAGCCACUUCCAUAUGCAUCAUCUCAUGGAGACCUCGCAGAAACCUAGUGGUGGUAUCUGGCAAGGAGCAAAGCUGAGAUUGAAGCCUAGAUUAAUGUCACUAAAAUUCAAACUACAUUCACCAUAUUGCUCUUAAUAUGCUACUUCAGAUUAAAAGUCACAAUGAAUAACAAAAUAAUUACAAAAAUCAUUUUUGGAGCUGCUUAUGAUUUUUGUGCUUGUGAACAUCAGAUUUUUCUUGGCACCUUACUUCCAAUCCUGUGGUACUGAUUUAGGGUGUAGUGUCCUAUUAGUUUCACAUAACUCAUGAACACUGAUACAAAAAUUUGUAUAUUUUGUUUUUUAUUAAGUUCUAACUGAUAUGAAUCAUUUCUUUCCCUGCUCAGUGUUGGUGGCAGUCUACAAAAACUAUUAACAGAUCUUGAGAGCUUGCUCCACAAGGCAACUUGUGAAAGAUCACAAAUCAAAUGGUUUGAGUUUGAACUUUUUAGGUCUUAAAGGUCAGCCUGGUUUUAUUUAUGUGGAAAUAUUAUUCUGACUUGCAGUGUGAAACCACACAGCAUCAAAAAACAUUUCACUUCUGCCUGUCCUGAAAAUGCAUCUCAGGAUGUGGAUUUUUUUCCUGAUAAGAAAAGUUCAAUUUGAAGAAGUUGGCAUACUUCUAAAUGCAACUUUUCCAUUUUUACAAAAUGCUUUUAUUUGGGACUCCCCAUGCAUUUUUUUAUUAGCUUGAAAAAUGAAUGAUGAUCUAUUAUCAGAAAAAAAAUUAGCAUUGUACAACUAGUUUGUGGACUGCAAAUUGUCAAAUAGAAUAGUUGAUUUAAAAAAAUUGCAGUCAUCGUAGAACUGGCACUUUUUCUAUCCUGCUUCAUUCUCUAAUUGGAUGAGACCAAAAGUAUCUUUUAACAUAGCCAGUUCCCAUUUUUUCCUUUUGGUUUUGCUUGCUCUGGGUAUGCUAAAGGUAUCACAGAAUUCUCGUGUCAUGUUUCUUUUGAAAACUGUGAUAAUCUUCAAGUUUUUGGCAAUAGAAAAAGGGUAAUUUUGUCAUACAGAACUUUGGAAAAUGAAGCUUCUUUUCUGUUCACAGAUGGAGAUCCUAUGAUGCUUGGUAACCAUAUAGAUUUGCUAGUUUAACGAAAAAGAAAUCUCCUCACAUUGUGGCCACUCAUUUGUUUUACAACAACCAAGACUCCGUACAUAACUCUAAAAGAAUUUCUGUCACCAGGCGAAACAGGUUUUCCAAUAUUUUGACUCAUAGUUGAGUUGGAGAUGAUGGAAAAAGCAGAAAGACACUACCAUGUAUGGCUUAAUGGAGAACUACAGAAGUCAGAAGAAUGAUACCGUGGUAAAGGCUGAGAAGCAGACCGAUGGAUGUAUGUUUGUUACAUAGGUAAAGUGUAACAAAGAGGUCAGGCUGAUUUUUUACAGAGUGUUAGUGUAUUUGGGAUUCAUGUGGGAAAAGUACCACUAAUCUACCUUCAUUUAAUAUUUAAAAUGGCUUAUUUAUUGACAAUAAAAUUGUAUGUUUUUAUAGUAUACAACAUGAUGUUUUGCUGUAUGUAUUUACUAAUAAUGACCCCUACUCCAUAACCCACAGAAAUAAUUUUCAGAUGGAUGGCAGAUUUAAAUAGGAAAUUAAAAACAUAAAUAACUUAAAACAAAAGUGAAUGUGUUUAUGUUUAUGGAGCCCUGUUUUCUUAAACAAGACACAAAUUUGCUACCCAUAAAGGAAACAGAGUUUCAUUUCAAUUCAGCCCUUUGAUUACCUAAUGGCAAUGUUAAGGGUCUGAAAGUGUAGUUCACAGAUUCUUAUCACACCCAAAGUGGGAAGAUUACACAGGGAGUCACUUUAUGGUUCACAUCAGGAAGAUAUCAGUUGAAAGUAUAAAGAGAUAUCAUAUGUACCUACCAGACUAGCUAAAAUGAAAAUGAAAAUGCCAAAUAUUGACAAAAAGGUGGAGCAACUGGGACUCUCAUAUCUGGCUGAUAGGAAUGCACAAUGGUAAAUCACUUUGAAGCAGUUUGUCAGCUUCCUAUGAAGUCAAAUAUGUGUUGACUGUACAACUGGGCAAUCCCAUUCCCUAGAACUUUACCAAGAUAAAUGAAAACCUAUACUCAUAAAGACAUAUACAUAACUGCUCACUGCAGCUCUUCCUUUUAAAAAUAAAAUUCUAUUAAAUGCAAAUAUAUUCCAUAUUGACAGAAAACAAACCAGCCAUUGCUUGGGGUCAUGGGUGGGAUGAGUUUUAUUUUAAAGGUCCCAAGAAACAUUUUGUAGUGCUACAAAGGUUUCAUAAUUUGAUUUUAGUGAGAGUUACAGAGGGUGCAUGCAUUUGUCAAAACUCAUUGAUUACAUAGUUACCAUGGCUAAGCUUUAUUUUAUUUCAAUCAUAAUUUAAUAAAGUUCAUUAAAAAUUAAGUGGCACACUGUGGAAGACAGUUUGAAGAUUCCUCAGAAACCUGAAUAUAGCCCUACCACAUGACCCAGCCCCAUCCCAUCCCACUCCUCAGAAUUUACCCAAAGGAAAUUAAAUUGGCAAAUAAAAGAACAGUCUGCACCUCAAUGUUUUUAUUGCAGCUCAAUUCACAAUAGCUAAGACAUGGAAUCAACCUAAAUGCCCAUCAACAGUAGACUGGAUAAAGAAAUUAUGGGACAUGUACUCUAUAGAAUACUAUACAGCAGUAAAAAAAACAAUGAAAUCCAGUCAUUUACAGCAAAAUGGAAGAAUCUGGAAAACAUCAUGCUGAGUGAAAUAAGCCAGUCCCAAAGGGACAAAUAUCAUAUGUUCUCCCUGAUCAGUGACAACUAACUGAGCACCUAAAAAGAAACCUGUAGAAAUGAAACGGACACUAUGAGAAACAAGGACUUGAUCAGCCCUUCUCCUGACUGUCGAGGAAUAACUUACUAUUUUACUCCCUUUAGUAUUUUUUUGUUCUACUUAAUACCAUUGGUUGAACUCUUUAAUUAACACACAAUUAUUCUUAGGUGUUUAAAUUUAACUGAAAAGUGAUCCCUGUUAAAUAAAAGAGUGGGAAUAAGGGAGGAAAGAGAUGUGCAAUUUGUGAUAUACUCAAUCAGACUUGCCCCAAAUGGUAGAGUUAAAAACAUGCCAGGGGAUUCCAAUUCAAUCCCACCAAGUUGGCAUGUACCAAUGCCAUCUCACUAGUCAAAGUGAUCAGUUUCAGUUCAUAAUUGAUCAUACUGGUAGGUCUAAGAGUCAAAGGGAUCACAUAAACAAGACUAGUGUCUGCUAAUACUAACUGAAAGAAUUAAAAAGGAAUGAUCCAACAUGGGAAGCAGGAUACACAGCAGACUCAUAGAAUGGCAGAUGUCCUAAACAGCACUCUGGCCUCAGAAUCAGCCCUUAAGGCAUUCGGAUCUGGUUGAAGAGCCCAUGAGAGUUUCUCAGGCAUGGAAAGCCAAGACACUGUUCCAAAAAAAAUGACCUAAAUGAAAGAUCUCUGCCAGUGAGAUCCCAGUGGAAAGAACAGGCCAUCAAAGAAGGAGGUACUUUUCUCUGAAGGGAGGAGAGAACUUCCACUUUGACUAAGACCUUGUCUAAAUAAGGUCGGAGUUGGUGAACUCAAGAGGCUUCCAUAGCCUUCAGCUCAUGACAAGAGCCUUGGGUGAUUACUGACAUCAUAAAUAAGAGUGUCAAUUGUUAAAUCAACAAUGGGAGUCACUGUGCACUUAUUCCCCAUGUAGGAUCUCUGUCCUUAAUGUAUUGUACUAUGUGAAUUAGUGGUAAAACUAGUCUUUAAACAGCACUUUAUACUUUGUGUAUCUGUUUGGGUGCAAACUGUUGAAAUCUUUACUUAGUAUAUACUAAAUUGAUCUUCUGUAUAUAAAGAUAAUUGAAAAUGAAUCUUGAUGAAGAAUGGGAUGGGAGAGGAAGUGGGAGCUGGGAUGGUUGUAGGUGGGAGGGAGGUUAUGGGGGAAAAGCCACUAUAAUCCAAAAGUUGUACUUUGGAAAUUUAUAUUUAUUAAAUAAAAGUUAAAAAAAGAAAAGAUGAAAGAGUCAAUAAGAAUAUGAAAAUAAAAGGGGAACUUGCUCACUUAUUAUCAUAAAAGAGGAUACUGUUAUUCAUGAUUGCAGUAGUCUUAAGUUCAAACAGCAGAUUUUCACUUCAUUCAAAGUUGAUCAAAUACUUUCCUUUUGCUUCUACCAAAGUUGCUUUCCUGUAGGAUUUUUGCAGCCAAUAUUUUUAAUUUACAUAGAAAAAUAUUGUGGACUGAUUGCUUUCAGAAUAUGAUCCUAGGAGAGAGCCUAGCGACCUGAGGAAUCUGCAGCAUCAUUGGAUCCAGUCUCCACCCUCCUCCACCAUAGUACCACUAUGGGACCAAGCUUCUAGACAUGGAACUUUAGAGAACAUCAAAUGUAAUAUCCAAAGUGCAGCAAGCUGUGAAGAGUUCGUUAUUCUCUGGUCAGGACUGGAAGGCACAGGAAGGAGAAGGCUAGUCUGGAGGGGAGAGCUGGCAAAGCGAUUUUCUGAGAUCUGCAACAGUGAAGCAGGAACAGAUUUGGUCAAUUAAUAAGACCAUGAUUUCUUUUUUAUUAGAGAAUUUAUACAAUUUCAGAUUGGACACAGCUUUAAACUGCUGUGAGGGAACUGGAUAUGGUGGCUUGGCUCUGGGAACGUUGAAGCACUCCAUGUCCCUGAAAUUUUAUGAUGAAAUGAUUUGGAUGAAUAGCUCAGAAACAGAAGACAGGAGAACAACCAGCAGCUUCUGCAAGAAGCAACGCGUGACAGAAGUUGCAGGAUGCUUGUUCCACUUCUGCUGGGCAUAGCUUCUCUAUUCUGUCCAUGUUGCAGUAAGUCCUAGAAAUAAGGUGGUAGCUGGUAGCUUGUUAAUAAAUGGACAGUUUCUUGGAGAAGGAACGUUUCCAGAUUAGCUCUUGGGGCUGUGGCAGAUGUCUGUGUGAUUGUUCUAAGGAAGGUUUU